rnacentral:misc_RNA from 1 species
AACUCAGCAACACUGCGCUGCCCCGCUCAAAUCAAUCUCUUCGAUGGCGUCGCAUCAUAGUUUUACAAAUAAGAGUGAAUUAUUGACUUUUAAUACUAAUGACCAGCUUAAAGAUAGAAGUUAGUUAGUAUCUUCGAUUAUGUUAAUUGUUUUUUUCUGAGAAUAUAACUGUUGAUUUGUGAUAAUGGAUGGAAAAACAUCCGACUGGAGGCCCGGGCCAAGUGUGUGUCGGUGUUGUCUCGCCGAAGGAUGUUAUAAGGACAUUUCGACUGAAUACUUUUGGAUGGGAAAGAGAGAAGUUUAUGCUGAUAUGUUGUCGGAUACUUUCAGUGUAUCUAUCGCGUAUUCUUCGGCGGGAGGUCCGAAUAGCCAUAGCCGGCUAAUAUGUGAGCCAUGUAUCUCGCGGCUACGCGACGCGGCCGACUUCAAGCGGCAGGUGCAGGAGUGCGAGAGGACCUUCAUGCAGCACCUCGACCCUGGCAGCACCUCCGCCGCCAACGACAUCGAUAUUGAAGCCCAGCCCGCGGGGAAGGAGGUGAAGUUAGAGCAGGUGAAACUAGAGAAGCGGUUCAGCGACGAUGACUUCGACACCGCAGACUUCGGAGAUGAAGAUGACGAUGACAUGGACGACCAACCGCUCACCAAGUUUGCGACGAAAGUGCCCAAAAAAGAGGCCGUCGACUUCUUAGACUUGAUAGACAACUCUCAGAUCACCGUGAAGAGAAUGUCCAUGAGUAAAAGCAAAGCACCGCCCGCAAAGAAAGUAAAAGUGACCAAAAAAGAACCAGCCAAGCCGACCGCCAGCAAAGCGCCCAUCAAAGUCGUCAAAGAGAAGAAGAAAAAAGAGGGCAAGCAGCUCUCCAUCUUGCAGAGAAAGGAGACCACUACACCGAUUACGACCGCCCGUAAUAAUGCGGCCUUAAUAAUAGCCAACUCGACGGCGUAUCCCUUUCGGCUACCGAAUGCCCGCGUUAUGUGUGUCUUCUGCUGCGAGGAUUAUACCAACUCGUCGCAAUUUAGACAGCAUAUGGCGACCGAGCAUUCAGAUUUCAAAAUACAUACUGCCUUUGCUCAUUGCCCUUCCGGUUACCUCAAAGCUGACUGCACUGAUAUACGCUGUAAAUUAUGUUCGGAAGCCCAUCCAACGUUAACAUCGAUAGCUAAGCACUUGAGUGAUGUUCACAAAAUGAAUUUGAAUUGCGAAAUUGAUUUGGGUAUUCAACCGUACAAGUUUUUGAAUGAGAAAUUCCUUUGUGGGGUUUGUGACGGAAACUUCCCCUGCUUACGUCAGCUGAGCCGGCACAUGUCGUCACAUUUUAGAAAUUUUACUUGUGAGGACUGUGGCAAAUCAUAUCCGACGAAAGACUCCCUCCAGGCUCAUUUGAGAUUCUCUCAUAUUAAAGAUGAUCGCAUUUGCAGAAAGUGUAAACAGACGUUCAAUUCAUUAGAAGCAAAGAAAGAGCAUAUGGCGUCUUCGCCGAAAUGCUGGAUGUAUAAUUGUUACAGAUGCUCGCAAAGAUUUAUGACUUGGAAAUUUAAAGAGCAGCACAUGGUCGAGGUCCACGGUAGGAAGAAAAAGACACACUCCUGUCCUGAGUGUGGAGACACGUUCCCAACAAGGUCUACUUAUAGAGUUCAUUUUGCCACUAAUCAUACCGGGACAUCCUUUCAAUGUCCCGACUGCGGGAGGAAGUUCACCAGAAAAAAGAACUUAGAUCAGCACAGUGUCGUCCACACCGGUAUCAAGACUUAUGAAUGUGAUGUAUGUUCCAAAAUGUUUCCGAGGAAAGAUAAUUUGAGACAACACAUGUGGAUACAUUCUGAAUACAAGAGAUUUGAAUGUGUACCGUGCAAGAAGAAAUUCAACCAGAAAGUCAGUUUUAGAUCGCAUAUGAAGACCCAUCAUUCUGCCUAAUUCUAUAAGAAACUCACUAAUUUGGGUUAUAAUUAUAAUAAGAGGUAGAAGAUGUUUGAAAAAAACAAAGCCCGAUGCACAUCGCGAGACAGAACGCCCGGACCAUAGUGGUACAUACCACAGCGUAUCCGUUUCGACUGCCCGAGAGUGACAUGGUCUGCGUGUAUUGUCACGAAAGCUAUUCAAAUCCAGACAUGUUCAGAGAGCAUAUGACUGAUAUGCAUAUGGAAGUCAAAUUGAGAAUCGCAUUUGCCCACGUUAGCGAAG